CACUGCUAUCGGAGUCGGACUAAGCCAUGCAAGUCACCUGCCGUCCUUCGGGAUGGUGGGGGCGGACGGCUCAGUAACACGUGGACAACCUGCCCUGGGGACGGGGAUAACCUCGGGAAACUGAGGGUAAUACCCGAUAGGGUAAGGAUACUGGAAUGUUCCUUACCCCAAAUCAUAUGGCCCCAGGAUGGGUCUGCGGGGGAUUAGGUUGUUGGUGAGGUAACGGCUCACCAAGCCGAUAAUCCCUACGGGCGAUGUGAGUCGUGGCCCGGAGAAGGGGACUGAGACAAGGCCCCUAGCCCUACGGGGUGCAGCAGGCGCGAAACCUUUGCAAUGCGCGAAAGCGUGACAAGGCGACUCCGAGUGCUCAUGCGUAUGCAUGAGCUUUUCCCGAGUGUAAACAGCUCGGGGAAUAAGGGCCGGGCAAUACCCGUGCCAGCCGCCGCGGUAACACGGGAGGCCCGAGUGGUGCCCGCGAUUACUGGGCUUAAAGCGUCCGUAGCCGGUCCAGUAAGUCCUUGGUGAAAGCCCUCGGCUCAACCGAGGGAAGUGCCAAGGAUACUGCUGGUCUAGGGAGCGGGAGAGGCGAGGGGUACUCCAGGGGUAGCGGUGAAAUGCGUUGAUCCUUGGGGGACCACCGGUAGCGAAGGCGCCUCGCUGGAACGCGUCCGACGGUGAGGGACGAAGGCCAGGGGAGCGACCCGGAUUAGAUACCCGGUUAGUCCUGGCUGUAAAUGAUGCGGACUAGGUGUCCGGUGACCCACGGGGUCAUCGGGUGCCGAAGGGAAACCGUUAAGUCCGCCGCCUGGGAAGUACGGUCGCAAGACUGAAACUUAAAGGAAUUGGCGGGGGGACACACAAGGGGUGGAGGCUGCGGUUUAAUUGGAUACAACGCCGGACACCUCACCAGGGCCAACGGCAGGAUGAAGGUCAGUCCGAAGGGCUUACCAGACAAGCCGAAGGGUGGUGCAUGGCCAUCGUCAGCUCGUGCUGUGAAGUGUCCUGUUAAGUCAGGCAACGAGCGAGACCCACGCCCUUAGUUGCCAGGUCAGUCACUGCGACUGGCGGCACUCUAAGGGGACUGCCGUCGACAAGACGGAGGAAGGAGUGGGCGACGGUAGGUCAGUAUGCCCCUAAUGCCCUGGGCUACACGCGGCCUACAUUGCCGGGCACAAUGGGAUGCGACCCCGAAAGGGGAAGCUAAUCUCCUAAAACCCGGCUCGGUUCAGAUCGAGGACUGAAACUCGUCCCUCGUGAAGGUGGAAUCCCUAGUAAUCGCAGGUCAUUAUCCUGCGGUGAAUGCGUCCCUGUCUCUUGCACACACCGCCCGUCAAGCCACUUCAAGCGAGGCUCGGACGAGGCGUGAUCCGCUU
rnacentral:rRNA from 1 species